GAUAAAAAAACACCACAGCUAGCGCGCACCAGCGCCCCUCCCUCUCGCGACUGAAAAUAGCUAGGGUUCCACCGCGAGUCUCCUAGCCGCCGUCGUGAGCCUCCCAGCCGCUGUCGCGAGCCUCUCCGCCGCCGCUGUCGCGAGCCUCUCCGCCGCCGCCGGUGCCCUCCAUCGUCGCGAGCCGUUGCCAGUGCCCUCCCCGGCUGCCGCCACUGGUGCUCUCCCAGCCACUGUCGUCCGUCUGCAGACGCCAUGGAGCCGGCGGUGCGCAUGCAGCUGGCAGGGCUCGGUGAGGACAACCGCCAGGAGGGGCUGUGCAGGCGGCCGUCGCCCCAUCCGCUCCGUCCUCUCCUCGAGGCCCAGUUCGAGCGGGCAACAUGGCGGUCCCAGAUUCGCGGCGGAUCUGGCUCGCCCACCUCUUUCCCAGUCUGAGAUACUGAAGGUCUACCUCGGCAACGCCCCAGCCGGAACAGUCAUGACCACGUACAUAUUGGGGACAAGCUCUUGACGACUCCACCGUUUGAUGAUGAUCUAGCUAUUGGGCGUUCAGGACCUGAGUGUACUGCAGGAAAAGACCAUGGAGAUGGACAAGGAAAAGAUGUAUCAUACAGUUUAUCAAGGAAGGUCUAGGAACAUGCUGUGAGUUGAGAUCAGCAUGGCCUGCAACCACAACAAGACAAGACACCUACCAUGCAUAUAUAUUUUCCUUUCAAGUAGCAACAACUUGACUAUGUUGUCUAUGACAUAACAAGGACGAGAUAUGACAACCUUUUGCAUGUGUCAACAGUAAGCUCUCUUAUGUUUUGUUGUAAAAAAUAGUUAACCUCCAGAAUUAUUAUGUUUUAUUUAUUUUCUCACAUCAAGUGUGCUUGAGUGAAAUCAGAUGGUGGCUCUUUGGAACGAACGGUCAAGAGUAAACGGAAGAAACAUCUGUUUUCUCAUACUUUAUUUCAUUUCUUUUUCUCAGAUUCUACUCCAAAAUAGUUUUUGGUUUGGAGCAUUUUCACUGGUUCUUUCCAAGUUUCAUUCUUCUCUUCAUUGUCUAUCGGUUCUCUAUCAGAAUAUUAUACUUAGUAUACUCUUGGUUUCCUAAGUUAUAUGAUUUAUUUGUUGCUAGGAUUAUUCUGACAUGUGUAAGCCUUGAUUUUGAUGAACAAGAGCCUGUUUUUUGGCACGACUCCCAGCUGCAGGAGAGCAUCAAGAUCUACUGCGCGGUGAACGAUGGCAUCAUCAACCUCGUGGAUGUGAAUGUUUUCGUUUUCCCUGUGUUUUCUUCAGCCACCGGCGUCGUUUCUUGUGACGAUGGAAGAGUACAUCAGAGAAGCUCC